UGAGGAAUCUUGCGCAAUGGGGGAAACCCUGACGCAGCAACGCCGCGUGAGUGAGGAAGGUUUUCGAAUCGUAAAGCUCUGUCAGGUGGAAAGAAAUGUAUGGACGUUAAUAGCUGCCAUACUUGACGGUACCACCAGAGGAAGCACCGGCUAACUCCGUGCCAGCAGCCGCGGUAAUACGGGGGGUGCAAGCGUUGUUCGGAAUCAUUGGGCGUAAAGAGCGUGUAGGCGGCUUGAUAAGUCAGAUGUGAAAGCCCUGGGCUUAACCCAGGAAGUGCAUUUGAUACUGUCUAGCUAGAGUAAGGGAGAGGAGAGCGGAAUUCCUGGUGUAGAGGUGAAAUUCGUAGAUAUCAGGAGGAACACCGGUGGCGAAGGCGGCUUUCUGGCCCUAUACUGACGCUGAGACGCGAGAGCGUGGGUAGCAAACA
rnacentral:rRNA from 1 species